UACAGAGGGUGCGAGCGUUGUUCGGAAUUAUUGGGCGUAAAGGGCGCGUAGGCGGUUGCGGUAAGUCACCUGUGAAAUCUCCUGGCUCAACUGGGAGCUUGCAGGCGAAACUGCCGUGCUGGAGUGUGGGAGAGGUGCGUGGAAUUCCCGGUGUAGCGGUGAAAUGCGUAGAUAUCGGAAGGAACACCUGUGGCGAAAGCG
rnacentral:rRNA from 1 species